ACAUAAUAAUAAAAUUCUGUUGGUGUCAGCACGUAUCGGAAUUUCAUUUUUUAGUUUAAUUCAAUACUUAGUAAUUUCGUUUUUAUCAGCCAUGGAAAGAUUCGGUAAUGGUUUCGUUUUCGUUCAAUCCAGUAAAAGAUGGCCAGAAGCAGAACAUAUUUCGGAGAUUCAUCCGAUUAUCAUUGCGAAAUCGCAGCAGGAACCUUGUGAGACAAGAAGCAGUCUUGCGGCCAAAGUACCUUCACAAUCUUAUUUGGAUCAUUGAGUAACACCCGACGCAUAUUUUGCCAUACGAGAGGUUCCAGAGAAUUUAGUGUCCUGAAUCCUGAAGGAGCCAACCAAUGGAUGCAUUGACAAUGUGUUGAGUGGUCAAAACCGAAAGCCCAAUCAUGUCUGUGAACGAAAUUUGUUCGUAUAUUGAACGUGUUGUUAUAAUUGCAAUAAAUAAAUAUUCUCUAAAAACAUA